rnacentral:rRNA from 1 species
CCUACGGGAGGCAGCAGUGGGGGAUAUUGCACAAUGGGCGGAACCCUGAUGCAGCGACGCCGCGUGUGUGAAGGAGCGUUUCGGCGCGUAAAGCCCUAUCGGCAGGGAAGAAGAUGACGGUACCUGACCAAGCAGCCCCGGCGAAAUACGUGCCAGCAGCCGCGGGAAGACGGAGUGCGCAAGCGUUCUCCGGAUUUACUGGGUGUAACGGGGGUGCAGACGGCAAUGCAAGCCAGGCGCGCAAGCCCCGGGCCCAACCCCGGGACUGCUCUUGGAACUGCAAGGCUGGAGUACAGGAGGGGGAGGCGGAAUUCCUGGUGUAGCGGUGAAAGGCGUAGAGAUUAGGAGGAACACCGGUGGCGAAGGCGGCCUGCUGGACAGUGACUGACGUUGAGGCGCGAAGGCGUGGGGAGCAAACAGGAUUAGAUACCCGGGUAGUC